rnacentral:rRNA from 1 species
CGUCCUAUUAGCUAGUUGGUGAGGUAAUGGCUCACCAAGGCUACGAUGGGUAGGGGUUCUUAGUGGAAGGUCCCCCACACUGGCACUGAGAUACGGGCCAGACUCCUACGGGAGGCAGCAGUAGGGAAUAUUGGUCAAUGGGCGCAAGCCUGAACCAGCCAUGCCGCGUGCAGGGUGAAGGCUCUCUGAGUUGUAAACUGCUUUUGUACAGGAGCAAAAAAAUCCCUGCGGGGGUUCUUGAGAGUACUGUAAGAAUAAGCGCCGGCUAAUUCCGUGCCAGCAGCCGCGGUAAUACGGAAGGUGCAAGCGUUAUCCGGUUUUAUUGGGUUUAAAGGGUGCGUAGGCGGCUUAUUAAGUCAGUUGUGAAAUCCUAGUGCUUAACGCUAGAACUGCAAUUGAUACUAUU